AAAUGAAUAGACGGGGGCCCGCACAAGCAGCGGAGCAUGUGGUUUAAUUCGAAGCAACGCGAAGAACCUUACCAGGUCUUGACAUCCAAUAAAACUUGUAGAGAUACAUCGUGGACUUCGGUCCGUAUUGAGACAGGUGGUGCAUGGUUGUCGUCAGCUCGUGUCGUGAGAUGUUGGGUUAAGUCCCGCAACGAGCGCAACCCUUGUGAUCAGUUACUAACAGAUAAUGCUGAGGACUCUGAUAAGACUGCCGGGGACAACUCGGAGGAAGGUGGGGACGACGUCAAAUCAUCAUGCCCCUUAUGACCUGGGCUACACACGUGCUACAAUGGCCACUACAGAGAGAAGCGAGCCUGAGAGGGGGAGCGGAUCUCAAAAAAGUGGUCCCAGUUCGGAUUGUGGGCUGCAACCCGCCCACAUGAAGUCGGAGUUGCUAGUAAUCGCGGAUCAGCAUGCCGCGGUGAAUACGUUCCCGGGCCUUGUACACACCGCCCGU
rnacentral:rRNA from 1 species